UACGUAGGGGGCUAGCGUUGUCCGGAAUCAUUGGGCGUAAAGAGCGCGUAGGCGGCCAGAUAAGUCCGGUGUGAAAGUCAAAGGCUCAACCUUUGAAUGCCGCUGGAAACUGUCUGGCUAGAGUCCGGGAGGGGCGAGUGGAAUUCCUGGUGUAGCGGUGAAAUGCGCAGAUAUCAGGAGGAACACCAAUGGCGAAGGCAGCUCGCUGGAACGGUACUGACGCUGAGGCGCGAAAGCGUGGGGGAGCGAACAGG
rnacentral:rRNA from 1 species